GGGGGCCCGCACAAGCGGAGGAGCAUGUGGUUUAAUUCGAUGAUACGCGAGGAACCUUACCGUGGGCUUGAAAGUUAGUGACAUUCUGUGAAAGCAGAACUUCCGCAAGGACACGAAACUAGGUGCUGCAUGGCUGUCGUCAGCUCGUGCCGUGAGGUGUUGGGUUAAGUCCCGUAACGAGCGCAACCCCUAUCAUUAGUUGCCAUCAGGUCAUGCUGGGGACUCUAAUGAGACUGCCCGCGCAAGCGGUGAGGAAGGUGGGGACGACGUCAAGUCAUCACGGCCCUUACGUCCAGGGCUACACACGUGCUACAAUGGUAGAUACAGCAGGUUGCCACAUGGUAACAUGGAGCUAAUCCCAAAAGUCUAUCUCAGUUCGGAUUGAGGUCUGCAACUCGACCUCAUGAAGCUGGAUUCGCUAGUAAUCGAAAAUCAGCAAUGUUUCGGUGAAUACGUUCCCGGGCCUU
rnacentral:rRNA from 1 species